rnacentral:rRNA from 1 species
ACGGGGCGCAGCAGGCGCGAAAACUUCACAAUGUGGGAAACCGCGAUGAGGGGAUUCCAAGUGCUUGCGUUUUGCGUAAGCUGUUCUUCUGCCUAAAAAGCAGGGGAAGUAAGGGCUGGGUAAGACGGGUGCCAGCCGCCGCGGUAAUACCCGCAGCCCGAGUGGUGGUCGAUAUUAUUGAGCUUAAAGCGUCCGUAGCCUGUCUGGUAAAUUCUUGGGUAAAUCGUGCAGCUUAACUGUUCGAAUUCCGGGGAGACUGCCAGACUUGGGACCGGGAGAGGUUGGAGGUACUCCUGGGGUAGGGGUAAAAUCCCGUAAUCCUGGGAGGACCACCAGUGGCGAAGGCGUCCAACUGGAACGGAUCCGACGGUCAGGGACGAAGCCCUGGGUCGCGAACUGGAUUAGAUACCCAG